rnacentral:lncRNA from 1 species
UUUUAGACUGGAACACACGAUGAGGGAAUUGCUACUUUCUUUCGGGGCCACAGGGGAAUUGUUCAGAUUCACCUUCGGGAGCUUGGAUCCCACUUGGACACUUAGCAUAAAAGGGUCCUGGUCUCCAGAGAGCUCUAAUGUGAAGAGUCCUGGGAUGCUGGAAAGGCUGGACCUAAGGUUAGGAGUGAGGAAGAGGAUGGUGCGGGGGCCGGGAAGAGGCGCAGUGCGAACACAUCAGGGGAGCAAAUGUUACCUAAGCCUGGGACUGCACACAGGAAGGACGGGGCUGGACGGUGAGUGGGUGAAAAUAAUUUUAACAAAGUUGCUUAGCAGUAUAUCCCUAUCAAGUGCAACCAAACAGGUGAAGAUUCCAAUCCCAGCCUUGGAUGGUGGUGCAUCCCUUUGAUGUCUUCUCUUGGGUGGCAGAGGCAGGCAGAUCUCUGUGAGUUUGACGCCAGCCCGAGAUCGACACAAGUGAGUUCUAGGACAGCCAAAGCUGGAUGGUGAAACCCAAGCUCCAAAACCAAAACCAGAAGUUACAGUAACAGCAGCCACUGUUCAACACGCAAGCAUCUUCCAGCGUCCACAGCUGGGUUCCUUGGACACUCCACAGUGUCAUGGGAGGUGGGUGUGUGACCAGCCUGGUGAGGACUUAUUUGGUGUCGAUUAAAUAUCUUGUCCAUGAUCACACACACAAGGUCCUGAUGCAGACGCCAAAAUCCCAGAGGACAGGGUGUGCAAAUGCAUCUUAGCAUCCCCUGGCACUUCCCAAGGCCAUACUCGAUGUUUGCUGAAUGGAGCGGUUUGGUCCAGGUCUCACAAGUCUCCGCUCGCUCGCCUGGAGGACAUCUGAGGGAUUCAAAUGAAGAACUAAGUCUAAGGGUGAACCGGCCAAGCUAUGGAAGGCACCAAAUCUUGAACUUAACAGCACUGAGCCAGGGAUGGUGGACCUCUCCCUUGGGAACCAGUUUGGUACGAACGACAAAUCUAUCUCAUACUGCGAUGUGGGAGGAAAUACAGAUUGUACUAGAAAAGCCUCCUGAAUAAAGGAAGUGCAAAUUAGGUCGUCAGUGAUGAACAGCGACUUAAAGCUACAGUUUAGCUAUUUUCAUCGGCAUCUUCCCACCCACUCCCAAUAUUCUAGUUAUGUACACAAUUUGCCUCAAAGACAGACAGACACACAGACAUAUAGACAUACACAGACACACACGUACAUGUACACAGACACACAUAGACACACAGACACGUACACAGACACACACAGACAUGCACACAUAUAUACACACACAUGCAUACACAUACAGACACAUAGACUUGAACACAUACACACACAUCUCACACACACAUGCACACAUACACACACACACACUCAUAUACAUACACAGACACACACAUACACACACACACACACACACACACACACAUACAUACACAGACACAGACAUACACACACACACAUACAUACACAGACACACACACACAUAUGUUGUACCCAUAUACACAUAGAUACACAGACACACACACACACUCAUAUACAUACACAGACACACAUAUACACACGAGCCCAGACCUUUGCAGUGAGUACCUUCAAUACUGAAGAUUCUGCUGCUGAAUUUAUCGGGAAUCCCAGUCCUCAUUGCUGACGAGAACCAAGCAGGCUGUGAAGUACCAAAAGUAGAUGCUCAAUAAACUCUGUUGAAAUGUGUGAAGAAGGACAGAGAGGACAUCGGGAGGGACAGAUGGCUCACCUGUGAACAUUCCUGAAAUCUGCCAUCUGAAGAAAUGGCUGCUGUGCUGUGGUCUUGUACACCACUCUCAGGCUUUGCUAAAACAGGCCUAUGGGACCCCGAGACCCUCGGCUCCCUUUUCCCAGAGGGAGGGAAAGAAUGUGGGUCUGGAAGAACCCAGGAGAGUUUCUGAUGUUGAUCGAAUGGCCUUCUCUUCAGAAUCUUGCAAAGGAAAACAAGCACACCCACAGAGGCAGAUCCCUUGAGCCCAGCAGACCUCUGGCUAAUUCCCUGGAAUUUCUUAUCUUUGAACUCAAGGUGGACUCCUCCAGGACUGACGGAUGAGAAACACUGUCAGAGUGGUAACACAGACCGGGAACAAACAGCUGACUCAGCAGGCCCGAGAGAGAAGACCAAGGACACAAAGCUUACCUACGGCUUCAACUCCUUCACUGCUACCCGCAGGUGAACACUCAGAAGACUUCACGGGUCAUGGAGUUCAUGAAGCCCGUUUCAAAGGCUGAAGAAAUAGAGCUGUUUCAUCUUGUGCACAAUGAAAAUAAGAGUUCUGAAGUCGUUGCUGCUUACGAGGCAUCACCAAAAUACAUUUUUAAAAAGUGCAUAACUCGGGGGCUGGAGAUGUGGCUGCUCUUCCAGAGGACUGGAGUUCCAUUACCCACGUGGCAGCUCCCAGCUGUCUGUAACUCAAGUUCCAGUGGACCGGACCCUCU